ACAGAGGUCACGAGCGUUGUUCGGAUUCACUGGGCGUAAAGGGUGCGUAGGUGGUGAGGUAAGUCGGAUGUGAAAUCUCGGAGCUUAACUCCGAAAUGGCAUUGGAAACUGCCUUGCUAGAGGUUCGGAGGGGGGACUGGAAUACUUGGUGUAGCAGUGAAAUGCGUAGAGAUCAAGUGGAACACCAGUGGCGAAGGCGAGUUACUGGACGAAACCUGACGCUGAGGCGCGAAAGUGAGGGGAGCAAACAG
rnacentral:rRNA from 1 species